CAUAAAAUUCUGGACGAAUUACCUAUAUUUGGGCUCAUGUUGACACCCCUAACUGAAUAUCAUUUUCGACAUUUUGGAAGAUAUUGUAAACUAAACAGGCCAGAUUUAUUCCAAACCCGGCCUAGUAGUCCAUAUAUUUGAACAACAAGUUUGAUUGAUGGUGAAGUAAUCAAGGCUAGGCUAGGGUUUUAGUUCUGAGAAGAGAAAUCCGCAAAGACGAAACGAUGCCUCCAAAGUUGGGUAAACCUGAAAAGGCAGAUGCUCUGAAGCAGCUAGGGACUCAUGUGGCCCUCUUUGGAGUUUGGGUUGCCGUAAUUCGAAUCACCCCUUAUAUCCUGCACUAUUUUUCUAAUCAGAAAGAAGAACCCGUGCUUGAGCUCUAGAUUCCUAAUCGGUUUCUGUAGAGGAAGGAAUGUUUGAAAGGAAGGAGCCCAGUGUUGUCUAUGCAUCUGUUGACCCCUAGCUCUAAUUCAUUUCUGUCUCUGUAUUUCAUUUGUGUUUGCCCCUAUGGUUCUGAAAUUUGUCACCUUAGUUAUGUGAGAUAAAAUUUGUUGUGGAAAGUCUCUUUCAGUUUCUCACUUCUAUCGACACCUAAUAAUUUGAUGGCUUAUUCAUCUCUGCCAGUGAACCUUGUUCUCAUGUUUACUGAAUGCAUAGAUGAUCCCAUAAAUGAGGGAGGAUAAAUUAAGAAGCUGCUAUUUAAUGU